GUCCACGCUGUAAACGAUGAGUGCUAGAUGUUGGAUGGGUCACCAUUCAGUGUCGAAGCUAACGCAUUAAGCACUCCGCCUGGGGAGUACGGUCGCAAGAUUAAAACUCAAAGGAAUUGACGGGGGGCCCGCACAAGCGGUGGAGUAUGUGGUUUAAUUCGAAGCAACGCGAAAAACCUUACCAGCCCUUGACAUAUGGAUUAAGAAGAUGAGAGAUCAUUUUUGCGGUUCGGCCGGAUCCAAUACAGGUGCUGCAUGGCUGUCGU
rnacentral:rRNA from 1 species